rnacentral:rRNA from 1 species
GACGAACGCUGGCGGCGUGCUUAACACAUGCAAGUCGAACGGAAGGGCCCUGCUUUUGUGGGGUGCUCGAGUGGCGAACGGGUGAGUAACACGUGAGUAACCUGCCCUUGACUUUGGGAUAACUUCAGGAAACUGGGGCUAAUACCGGAUAGGAGCUCCUGCUGCAUGGUGGGGGUUGGAAAGUUUCGGCGGUUGGGGAUGGACUCGCGGCUUAUCAGCUUGUUGGUGGGGUAGUGGCUUACCAAGGCUUUGACGGGUAGCCGGCCUGAGAGGGUGACCGGCCACAUUGGGACUGAGAUACGGCCCAGACUCCUAUGGGAGGCAGCAGUGGGGAAUAUUGCACAAUGGGCGGAAGCCUGAUGCAGCAACGCCGCGUGCGGGAUGACGGCCUUCGGGUUGUAAACCGCUUUCGCCUGUGACGAAGCGUGAGUGACGGUAAUGGGUAAAGAAGCACCGGCUAACUACGUG